rnacentral:misc_RNA from 1 species
GCAAACUUGGUCAUUUAGAGGAAGUAAAAGUCGUAACAAGGUUUCCGUAGGUGAACCUGCGGAAGGAUCAUUAGAGAAAUCCCCUCGGGGAAACAACAUCUGCGCCUCGCGGCGCACGAUCCCACACACCUGUGCACUCUGCCGGGCAGAGGGUCCUCCCCCGCUGGGGGUGGGAACGCUGCCCGUCCCACACACACACCUUUUAUGUCAUUGAACGUUGCCCAUUGAUAAUGUAACACAACUUUCAACAAUGGAUCUCUUGGCUCUCGCAUCGAUGAAGAACGCAGC